rnacentral:lncRNA from 1 species
GUUUUGUGAUGUUAUGUUUCGCCGGUGUCAUCCACGGGCUCCUUAAUUGUAACGUUUUUGAUCUUUUAUUCAUUUGACUCUCUCUUUUCUGGUGGUAGUUUCCAAAUUUCAUCAGUGAACUUUUUCAACCAGCUUCAACGUUCUAGAGAGAUUAUGGAUUACCGUCCUUUGGUCCUUGGAGGCGGCACUUGGCUAUAAGGGUAGUGAUAUCACGUGGUAUGUGAUUCCUUGCAUUCACCGGUAACUCCAAUCGGACUUCGGUUCAUCCUAGUACUGUGAAUUUUCGCUUGAAGAUUCAUGAUAGUGUCAUUGUCUAAUUAUUUUAUGCAGGUUUUUGGGCCGCUUUGGUUCUAGUACAACGGCCUUCUCAGGCCCGUUUUUUGCAGGUCGUUGUUGGCUAAGGUCGUUCUCCUAUCAUUUAUGUCCUUGCAGCUAACGACGUCGGAGGAGAGGAUGUAUACUCGGCUUAUUGGUACUUUCCUAUGUUUAGUGUUCCUUGACCCCUCUCUUCAAGAUCAUCUCGUGCUUCAUCUUUGGGUGAUGAUUAUAAGUUUAGAUAAACUUGU